rnacentral:rRNA from 1 species
AGAGUUUGAUCCUGGCUCAGAACGAACGCUGGCGGCAGGCCUAACACAUGCAAGUCGAGCGCCCGCAAGGGAGCGGCAGACGGGUGAGUAACGCGUGGGAACGUGCCCUUUGGUUCGGAAUAUUCCCGGGAAACUGGGAGCAAAACCGGAUAAGCCCUUCGGGGGAAAGUUUACGCCAAAGGAUCGGCCCGCGUUAGAUUAGGUAGUUGGUGGGGUAACGGCCUACCAAGCCUACGAUCUAUAGCUGAUCUGAGAGGAUGAUCAGCCACACUGGGACUGAGACACGGCCCAGACUCCUACGGGAGGCAGCAGUGGGGAAUCUUGGACAAUGGGCGCAAGCCUGAUCCAGCCAUGCCGCGUGGAUGACUGAAGGCCCUAGGGUUGUAAAGUCCUUUCGACGGGGACGAUAAUGACGGUACCCGUAGAAGAAGCCCCGGCUAACUUCGUGCCAGCAGCCGCGGUAAUACGAAGGGGGCUAGCGUUGUUCGGAUUUACUGGGCGUAAAGGGCGCGUAGGCGGAUUUUUAAGUCGGGGGUGAAAUCCCGGAGCUCAACUCCGGAACUGCCUUCGAUACUGGAAGUCUGGAGCACGGUAGAGGUGAGUGGAAUUCCGAGUGUAGAGGUGAAAUUCGUAGA